rnacentral:rRNA from 1 species
CACGUAGUUAGCCGGUGCUUUUUCUGCAGGUACCGUCACUUUCGCUUCUUCCCUACUAAAAGAGGUUUACAACCCGAAGGCCGUCAUCCCUCACGCGGCGUUGCUGCACCAGGCUUGCGCCCAUUGUGCAAUAUUCCCCACUGCUGCCUCCCGUAGGAGUCUGGGCCGUGUCUCAGUCCCAGUGUGGCCGGUCACCCUCUCAGGCCGGCUACCCGUCGUCGCCUUGGGUGAGCCAUUACCUCACCAACAAGCUGAUAGGCCGCGAGUCCAUCUACCACCGAUAAAUCUUUCCACCCACACACCAUGCGGUGAUGGGACAUAUCCAGUAUUAGACGCCGUUUCCAGCGCUUAUCCCAGAGUGAUAGGCAGGUUACUCACGUGUUACUCACCCGUUCGCCACUCUUCCACCCAGCAAGCUAGGCUUCAUCGUUCGACUUGCAUGUGUUAAGCACGCCGCCAGCGUUCGUCCUGACCAGGAUCAAAACUCU